GGGGGUGACCUGGUUUCGACGGGGAGUGCGAUCGAUCGCUUGCCAUUCGAGGUUGGUCGAAAGGCCUCGUAAAAAUUCGACCACAAAAACAAAGGCCAACGAAAACGUUGCGCUCGCGGCCUAAUUAGGCUGCGCGGUUCCCGGUAGAUUCCGCCGGUAAGCUACCGAAGAACCGUCGAAUAAACUGGCUGGGAGUGGUGUGGGGCCCCUGGCGUGCCGCUUCGAGACAAACCAGACGGAUCGGGUGAGUAGAGACCCCCCUGUGGGUUACGAAAACCUUAAACUAUUAAACGCAGGGAAUAAUGGUAGCAUGGCGCUCGUGACCCUCUUCGGACGCGGGUUCGAUUCCCGCCACCUCCACCG
rnacentral:tmRNA from 1 species